rfam:Danio rerio chromosome 4, GRCz11 reference primary assembly.
GUCUCUGUGGCGCAAAAGGUUAGCGAGUUUGGCUGUUAGCUGAAAGGGUGGUGGUUCAAGCCCACCCAGGGAUG